UACGUAGGGUGCGAGCGUUAAUCGGAAUUACUGGGCGUAAAGCGUGCGCAGGCGGUUUGCUAAGACCGAUGUGAAAUCCCCGGGCUUAACCUGGGAACUGCAUUGGUGACUGGCAGGCUAGAGUAUGGCAGAGGGGGGUAGAAUUCCACGUGUAGCAGUGAAAUGCGUAGAGAUGUGGAGGAAUACCGAUGGCGAAGGCAGCCCCCUGGGCCAAUACUGACGCUCAUGCACGAAAGCGUGGGGAGCAAAC
rnacentral:rRNA from 1 species